rnacentral:SRP_RNA from 1 species
GACGGGGGAUGCUCCUGUAAUCCAGCCACCCGGAGGCUUGGUUGGUUUGCAGAUAAGAGUCCUGGUAGUCGGUCUUUUAUGGCGAUGGGAUGUCCGCGCUAAACUCGGCAUCAAUAUGGUGCUGGAGAGAGGACUCAUCGGCACCAGGAGGGUCGCUUCAGCCCAGAGCGGAGACGCAGCAGGCAAAGACCCCUUGUCGAGCAGUAGUGGGAUCUCGCCUGUGAAUAGUCGUCGGCUGGCAGCCUGUUCGAUAUAACUGAACUCCAACCUUU